AGCCCAGGUGAGCCCGAGCCUCUGUGUAGCAGUGCGUAAUUUUGUGAUCACAAGGAAGAAGCGUAUCCUGCUCGCUCGGUGUGCAGUGCCACCCUGCCUGUCCUUCUGCCCCUGGGCAGAGGUGUGGAAUGCAACCCUCUUUUUGGCAGCUUCCCAUUGGCACCACUUGAAGAAAAAAACCCCAAAACAAUAGAAAAAGGCUCUUUAUUGUCAAAGAAAUCACAAAACUUUACUCCGGAAAAAGCAGCUGCUGGUGUCAAAUCCUAUUAUAAAGAGCUAAAUCUCCUUGCAUGAUGUUCAUGUGGCACAGCACAGAGGGCACACACUGCAGUGAAGGCAUUGUCCUUGUUCUGCAGUUUCAAGUCACUCUCUGGAAAGUGCGCAGGUAAGUUCUAAACAUGCCUUAUGAGCCAGUGUAGCUUUAUAUCUCUUCUCUGACAUAGAUUGCAAAUAAUGAUGCUUUUCUUUGGUGGUACUAUGAAAUGAGCUUGGAUCACUGCUCUGUUUGGCAGCCAGUCUGAAAUUACAGGAGCAGGUGGACAGUUAAUCCACCUACUCUGAGGCUCCCAUGUGUGGUCACUGGGUUAAGCUGCCCUUUGAGGGAGCCGGUCUGUUACUGGUAAACGAUGCUUCGACAAGAGGGGAAGAUGUCUUGAGCAAGUACUCUGGACACAGGUUGUGUGGAGUCAAAAAUACUCUGAACACAGAUUGUGUGGAGACAGGAAGCCCUAAAGUCCAAGAUUUUGUGGAUGUUGACUCACUGUCUGACUUCAUUUCCAGUUCCCAGCCCUGUUUCCCAUCUGCAAAUGGGGGUGGUAACUUCUUGUUAACACCUUCUGUGAAAGACAAGGGUAAACCGUAAUGUAUCUCAGUCACAGGGCACAGUGUAAGAGGAAGGCCUGUGUUUCUAUCAGCAAGGAGAUGUUCAUGAGUCAGUGAGAGUCUGAGGCAGAGAGCAGGUAGAUGAUGAGGAAACAGGAGUUCAAGGCAUUGGGAAGGACAGGGUGAGCAUUGCUUGGGUGAGUUUAGCUUGAGCCCUCACCACUGAGUAGUUGUCUUGGCAGUUGGGGUUUAAACCUG